CGUCUUGCGCCUGCGCCUGCGCAUAAACCCGCGAAGCGGGGGAUUAGGUUCGCCGGAACCCACGCCUCGGUCUUCUGCUUCCGGGUCGCAGCCAUGGCGGUGGCAAAUUCAAGCCCUGUUAAUCCCGUGGUGUUCUUUGAUGUCAGCAUUGGCGGCCAGGAAGUUGGCCGCAUGAAGAUCGAGCUGUUUGCGGACGUUGUGCCUAAGACGGCCGAGAAUUUUAGGAAUGCCCUCAGCUGUGAUGCCAUGGUAACUGAUUCGUUCACUCUUUUCCCUUUAAGGCAGUUCUGCACUGGAGAAUUCAGAAAAGAUGGGGUUCCGAUAGGCUACAAAGGGAGCACCUUCCACAGGGUCAUAAAGGAUUUCAUGAUUCAGGGUGGGGAUUUUGUUAAUGGAGAUGGUACUGGAGUUGCCAGUAUUUACCGGGGGCCAUUUGCAGAUGAAAAUUUUAAACUCAGACACUCAGCUCCAGGCCUGCUUUCCAUGGCAAACAGUGGUCCCAGUACAAAUGGCUGCCAGUUCUUCAUCACCUGCUCUAAAUGUGAUUGGCUGGAUGGGAAACACGUAGUGUUUGGAAAAAUCAUUGAUGGACUUCUAGUGAUGCGAAAGAUCGAGAAUGUUCCCACAGGCCCCAACAAUAAGCCCAAGCUGCCUGUGGUGAUCUCACAGUGUGGGGAGAUGUAGUCCAGAGCAAGACUGAUCAGUAUACUUCGCAACUUUAUGCUGGGGAACCAAAGGUCUGACGGAGGGCAAGAGUCAGACCAGUUCUGCUCUUCCAGGAAAAGCAGACCUUCACCUCUCUGCCAUUGUGGGCCUUCCUUGCUCUGGGUGACGCUCUUGAGUAAGAUAAUCCGGAUUGGCCCCUGUGUUUGCUUCCCUGCCUGCUGCGGCCCUUUUUGAUCAAGAGACCUUGGAAGUGUCACAGAUUCACAACCCAAGAUUUUCUGUUUAAGUUUUCAAUUGUAAAUAAAGUUUUGUUUUGUUUUGGUA